GGUAGCGUGGCCGAGGGGCGGUCUAAGGCGCUGGUUUUAAGGCACCAGUCUUUUCGGAGGCGUGGGUUCGAAUCCCACCGCUGCCA
rnacentral:tRNA from 1 species